GUGUGGUCCUCUUGAAAUGGAUUGUUUGAUACCACUUUACUUCUUAUCAUACACACAUUAUGAUUCUUCUCCUUAUCCUGCGCACCCCUUCUGCUACUUUGUUCAAUAGAGACAAAAUCCACACACCAAAAGAAUGACUUACACACCCAUCUACUACCAAUUCCACCAUUCUCAUCCUUCAAGGCUGAACCAUAAUUGCAAAUCCAACAAAGAGCCACCAUGUCAUCAAGUGGAAGCCUUUGGAACUAUGAGGAAGAAAAGGCAUUUGAGAAUGCCAUAGCUAUGCAUUGGAUUGAGGAAGCCUCAAAUGAGCAAUGGGAGAAAAUUGCUUCAGCAGUUCCCAGCAAAAGCAUGGAAGAAGUGAAGCAGCAUUACCAGGUUCUAGUGGAGGAUGUAAGUGCAAUAGAGGCAGGUCACAUACCAUUCCCCAACUAUACUUCUGAGGAAACCACCUCUUCAAAUAAGGACUUCCAUGGCUCUUCCAAGGCCUCAAGUUCAGAUAAAAGAUCAAAUUGUAACUAUUCCACUGGUUUUUCUGGAUUAGGACAUGACUCCACCACUCACAGUACUGGUAAAGGAGCCUUGUCAAGGUCAUCAGAACAAGAAAGGAGAAAAGGAAUUCCAUGGACUGAGGAGGAGCACAGGUUAUUUUUACUUGGUCUAGACAAGUUUGGAAAAGGAGACUGGAGAAGCAUUUCAAGGAACUUUGUGAUAUCCAGGACUCCCACACAAGUAGCAAGCCAUGCACAGAAGUACUUCAUAAGGUUGAAUUCUAUGAAUAGGGACAGAAGAAGGUCUAGUAUCCAUGACAUAACCAGUGUGAACAAUGGAGAUGUGGCUAGUAAUCAAGCACCGAUUACAGGGCAACAUAGCAGCACAGUUUCUUCAAGUACAAUGGGUGUAGGACAAUCACUGAAGCACAGAGUGCAGGGCCAUAUAGCACCUGGUUUAGGCAUGUAUGGAACACCAGUUGGACAUCCUGUUGCUGCUCCUCCAGGGCACAUGGCAUCUGCAGUUGGAACUCCUGUCAUGCUUCCUCCUGGACCCCAUCCACAUGCUCAUCCUCAUCCACCUUAUGUUCUUCCUCUUGCUUACCCAAUGGCACCACCACCAAUGCAUCAAUGACAACCCUUUUUCUUUAAUAAAUAAAAAUAAAUUAAUUUUUCUCUUUUUAGUAUGGAAUUAAGCUCCUUUAUGUGGAAAGUCAUAAAUAUGGUGUGUCAAAUUCUACUCCAUUGGUACUACUUACUACUACUCAGUUUAUAUCUCAGUAUAGAGUUAGUUGAUCUUGCCACUGUUCCUGUGAGGUGGUGGAUGUAAUGCUAAGAAUUUUGCCUUGGAGUGUAUAUGCUGAUAGAAGUGGAUUCAUAUACCAAGGCAAAGACUUGAAGUAAAUGAACUUGUCUUUGUUCAGUGAGCUAUAAAUGCUUUCAACAGAUUUCUGUAACCUU